AGUGGCGUACGGGUGAGUAAAAUGUGGAUUAUCUGCCUCUUAGUGGGGAAUAACCCUGGGAAACCGGGGCUAAUACCGCAUGAGCCUGGAAAGGGAAAGCGCCGUCCUCAAAAAACGACGCGCUGAGAGAGGAGUCCGCGGCCGAUUAGCUAGUUGGUGAGGUAACGGCCCACCAAGGCUUUGAUCGGUAGCCGGCCUGAGAGGGCACACGGCCACACUGGCACUGAAACACGGGCCAGACUCCUACGGGAGGCAGCAGUGGGGAAUCUUGCACAAUGGGGGAAACCCUGAUGCAGCGACGCCGCGUGAGCGAUGAAGCCCUUCGGGGUGUAAAGCUCUUUCGGCAGGAACGAUAAUGACGGUACCUGAAGAAGAAGCUGCGGCUAACUACGUGCCAGCAGCCGCGGUAAUACGUAGGCAGCAAGCGUUGUUCGGAGUUACUGGGCGUAAAGAGUGCGUAGGCGGCUCCCUAAGUUUGGUGUGAAAUCUCCCGGCUUAACCGGGAGGGUGCGCCGAA
rnacentral:rRNA from 1 species